rfam:Clostridium kluyveri DSM 555, complete genome.
AACGUUAAGAAGAAACAGCCGUUUCUCACCUUACAGCAAAGCUAGUAAGGUUGUGUUUAUAAGAAUUUUUUAUUAUAAAGAUUCUUUGCUAUGGGAUGUAUUUAAGAGCGGCUUUAGGCCGCUUUUUUUAUGUGUA